rnacentral:lncRNA from 1 species
UGGGAAGGGGGGGGGUGUAAGAGAACGGAUCAGAAAUUCCCAAAGGUCCCGGAGAACUCCAUCUCAGGGUUUCUCCUGAAAGUUGCAAAGCUGGGGCUGUAUCUGCGGGCAGGGGGGCGGCUGGUCGCGUCGCCGCGAUUGCUCCCCAGCUGCCAGGGACAAGGGCAGGGGAGACGGGCGGGCGGACGCGGGGGGUCCAGGGGGUCUUACUUUUGUAGCUCGCUGCCCAGGGCUGGUAGCCGUAGUAGCCUGUGAUGCGCAGGAUCCGCUCCUCAAUGGACGUGAGCCCCACGGGCCCGCUAGUGAGGUCCUCCACAGAGCGCGACCAUUUCAGGUCCUCCUUAAUAGCCUCGUCCACCACCAGCAAACCAGGAAUCGAAGGGAGCUUCCCUAAAUUAGACGACCUCUACAGAAACUGACAGCUAACGUCGCAUUUCACGGAAAGAAACGUACUUGCUAAGAUCAAGAGUAG